rnacentral:rRNA from 1 species
ACGCUGGCGGCGUGCCUAAUACAUGCAAGUAGAACGCUGAAGAGAGGAGCUUGCUCUUCUUGAAUGAGUUGCGAACGGGUGAGUAACGCGUAGGUAACCUGCCUUGUAGCGGGGGAUAACUAUUGGAAACGAUAGCUAAUACCGCAUAACAAUGGGUGACACAUGUCAUUUAUUUGAAAGGGGCAAUUGCUCCACUACAAGAUGGACCUGCGUUGUAUUAGCUAGUAGGUGAGGUAACGGCUCACCUAGGCGACGAUACAUAGCCGACCUGAGAGGGUGAUCGGCCACACUGGGACUGAGACACGGCCCAGACUCCUACGGGAGGCAGCAGUAGGGAAUCUUCGGCAAUGGGGGCAACCCUGACCGAGCAACGCCGCGUGAGUGAAGAAGGUUUUCGGAUCGUAAAGCUCUGUUGUAAGUCAAGAACGAGUGUGAGAGUGGAAAGUUCACACUGUGACGGUAGCUUACCAGAAAGGGACGGCUAACUACGUGCCAGCAGCCGCGGUAAUACGUAGGUCCCGAGCGUUGUCCGGAUUUAUUGGGCGUAAAGCGAGCGCAGGCGGUUUGAUAAGUCUGAAGUUAAAGGCUGUGGCUCAACCAUAGUUCGCUUUGGAAACUGUCAAACUUGAGUGCAGAAGGGGAGAGUGGAAUUCCAUGUGUAGCGGUGAAAUGCGUAGAUAUAUGGAGGAACACCGGUGGCGAAAGCGGCUCUCUGGUCUGUAACUGACGCUGAGGCUCGAAAGCGUGGGGAGCGAACAGGAUUAGAUACCCUGGUAGUCCACGCCGUAAACGAUGAGUGCUAGGUGUUGGAUCCUUUCCGGGAUUCAGUGCCGCAGCUAACGCAUUAAGCACUCCGCCUGGGGAGUACGACCGCAAGGUUGAAACUCAAAGGAAUUGACGGGGGCCCGCA